rnacentral:rRNA from 1 species
GUGCCAGCCGCCGCGGUAAGACGUAGGGGGCCAGCGUUGCUCGGAAUUACUGGGCGUAAAGGGUUCGUAGGCGGUGCGGUAAGUCGAGAGUGAAAUCUCCAGGCUUAACUUGGAGGCGCCUCCCGAAACUGCCGUGCUCGAGUGCUGGAGAGGCGAGUGGAAUUGCAGGUGUAGCGGUGAAAUGCGUAGAUAUCUGCAGGAACACCAGUGGCGAAGGCGGCUCGCUGGACAGCAACUGACGCUGAGGAACGAAAGCUAGGGGAGCAAACAGGAUUAGAAACCCUCGUAGUCC